UUCUUGGAGAGUUUGAUCCUGGCUCAGGACGAACGCUGGCGGCGUGCCUAAUACAUGCAAGUCGAGCGAAUCAAUAGGAGCUUGCUCCUGUUGGUUAGCGGCGGACGGGUGAGUAACACGUGGGCAACCUGCCUGUAAGACUGGGAUAACACCGGGAAACCGGUGCUAAUACCGGAUAAUCCUUUCCCUCUCAUGAGGAAAAGCUGAAAGUCGGUUUCGGCUGACGCUU
rnacentral:rRNA from 1 species